rnacentral:rRNA from 1 species
CCUACGGGUGGCAGCAGUGAGGAAUAUUGGUCAAUGGACGAGAGUCUGAACCAGCCAAGUAGCGUGAAGGAUGAAUGCCCUAUGGGUUGUAAACUUCUUUUAUAAAGGAAUAAAACGAGGCACGUGUGCCUUUUUGCAUGUACUUUAUGAAUAAGGAUCGGCUAACUCCGUGCCAGCAGCCGCGGUAAUACGGAGGAUCCGAGCGUUAGCCGGAUUUAUUGGGUUUAAAGGGAGCGUAGAUGGGUUGUUAAGUCAGUUGUGAAAGUUUGCGGCUCAACCGUAAGAUUGCAAUGGAUACUGGCAGUCUUGAGUACAGGUGAGGUAGGAGGAAUUCGUGGUGUAGCGGUGAAAUGCUUAGAUAGCACGAAGAACCCCGAUGGCGAAGGCAGCUUACUAAACUGUGACUGACAUUGAUGCUCGAAAGUGUGGGGAUCAAACAGGAUUAGAUACCCGAGUAGUC